ACUGAUAUUUGGUCUUUGUUUUCUCAAAUUCCUCUGAUCCUGUGGAUUCGUGGUGUAUCUACACGGAAAAACGAAAUCUGCUUCAUGGAGUGGUUAACAUGCAUAUUUGAAGGUCCUAGCCAUGGUGGACAAUAUCAUGGAGAUAAUGAGGAUGAUAGGUACUUGAACCACGUACAUACUUCCGGGGGUAUUACCAAUUUUCUCCCGUUUGUUGUGUUCUUGCUCUGACGAAUUUCUUUUCUAUCAAUUUGUUGUGUAAAAGUGGUGGAUGGUCCAAUGAAGUACUUUACAGAAGAAGUUAUCAUCCAUAGAGAUAAAAUGCUGUGAACUCUUAACAGUAACCAGUGGAUUGUGUCCUCAACUCUGUUUCAAACUUCUCAUCAUAGUCCAAUAGUUGAGAAAUUGGAUGCAGGAUGAGUUAACAGAUCACGAGAGAGAAGAAAUAGAUUAUGCAAUUGCCCUUUCCCUUUCGCAAGAAGAUUGGAGAGGGAAAAAUGUUAUUGGAAUUGUAGUUGAAAGAACUGAUGCAGCUAGAGUUAGAUUCUGCAAUCAGUCUGUUGAUGCUUUCAAUGACUGACCAUGAUUAAGUCAUACUACUUGUAGUAGUUAGUUAGCAGUCCCGAAAAAGAAAAAUUUAAAGAAGAGAAAUGGAGAAGGACACUAUGUUCACUUUUAAACCAGCCAUAAUCAUGUGACCCUUUUCUGCUCUGUUGCUUCAGUAGAACUGAAGUUUAAUAUAGUACAAGCCACUCCCAUUUUUGGUCAACUUUUCUGAACAAUCUAUU